GCGGACGUGGUGGAACAGUAGACACCUCGGCCCGAGGAGCCGAUGGGCGAAAGCCCAUGAGGGUGCGAUUCCCUCUGUCCGCACCA
rnacentral:tRNA from 1 species